UGCCAGCAGCCGCGGUAAUACGGAGGGUCCGAGCGUUAAUCGGAAUUACUGGGCGUAAAGCGUGCGCAGGCGGUUUGUUAAGCCAGAUGUGAAAUCCCCGGGCUCAACCUGGGAAUUGCAUUUGGAACUGGCGAACUAGAGUCUUGUAGAGGGGGGUAGAAUUCCAGGUGUAGCGGUGAAAUGCGUAGAGAUCUGGAGGAAUACCGGUGGCGAAGGCGGCCCCCUGGACAAAGACUGACGCUCAUGCACGAAAGCGUGGGGAGCAAACAGGAUUAGAUACCCUGGUAGUCCACGCCGUAAACGAUGUCUACUCGGAGUUUGGUGCCUUGAGCACUGGGCUCUCAAGCUAACGCAUUAAGUAGACCGCCUGGGGAGUACGGCCGCAAGGUUAAAACUCAAAUGAAUUGACGGGGGCCCGCACAAGCGGUGGAGCAUGUGGUUUAAUUCGAAGAUACGCGCAGAACCUUACCAACACUUGACAUGUUCGUCGCGACUCUAAGAGAUUAGAGUUUUCGGUUCGGCCGGACGAAACACAGGUGCUGCAUGGCUUGUCGUCAGCUCGUGUCGUGAGAUGUUGGGUUAAAGUUCCGCAACGAGCGCAACCCUCACUUUUAGUUGCCAUCAUUAAGUUGGGCACUCUGAAAGAACUGCCAGUGAUAAGCUGGAGGAAGGUGGGGAUGACGUCAAGUCUCAUGGCCCUUACGUGUUGGCUACACACGUGCUACAAUGUAUCUACA
rnacentral:rRNA from 1 species